AUAACCUACGGGACGCAGCAGUGAGGAAUAUUGGUCAAUGGGCGAGAGCCUGAACCAGCCAAGUCGCGUGAGGGAAUAAGGCCCUAUGGGUCGUAAACCUCUUUUGUCAGGGAGCAAAGGCGUCCACGUGUGGACGAGAGGAGAGUACCUGAAGAAAAAGCAUCGGCUAACUCCGUGCCAGCAGCCGCGGUAAUACGGAGGAUGCGAGCGUUAUCCGGAUUUAUUGGGUUUAAAGGGUGCGUAGGCGGAGUGUCAAGUCAGCGGUAAAAUUUCGGGGCUCAACCCCGUCGUGCCGUUGAAACUGA
rnacentral:rRNA from 1 species